UGGUUGAUCCUGCCAGUAGUCAUAUGCUUGUCUCAAAGAUUAAGCCAUGCAUGUGUAAGUACAGGCCGACUUAAGGCGAAACCGCGGACGGCUCAUUAAAUCAGAUAUAACUCAUUGGAUCUCUGCUGAACCGCAUUACUUGGAUAACUGUGGUAAUUCUAGAGCUAAUACAUGCCUUUGUAGUCUCCGACCGCGAGGGAGGAGCGCUUUUAUUAGACCAAAACCCUCGGCAGCCGGUUCCCGCAAGGGGCCGGCCGCACACAUCUUGGUGAAUCAGAGUAACUUUUGCCGAGCGCACGACCCCUCCCGUAACCCGGGUUGGGUCGGCGCCGCGUCCUGCAGGCGUCUGCCUUAUCAGCUCUCGAUUGUAGGUUAAACGCCUACAGUGGCUAUCACGGGUAACGGGGAAUCAGGGUUCGAUUCCGGAGAGGGAGCCUGAGAAACGGCUACCACAUCUAAGGAAGGCAGCAGGCGCGCAAAUUACCCACUCCCGGCACGGGGAGGUAGUGACGAAAAAUACUGUUGCGAGCCCC